rnacentral:rRNA from 1 species
UACACGACCGUACCGCAAACCGACACUGGUGCGCGAGAUGAGUAUUCUAAGGCGCUUGAGAGAACUCAGGAGAAGGAACUCGGCAAAUUGACACCGUAACUUCGGAAGAAGGUGUGCCUUUAGUAGGUGAAGUCCCUCGCGGAUGGAGCCCAAUGAGGUUGCAAAAAAUCGGUGGCUGCGACUGUUUAUUAAAAACACAGCACUCUGCAAACACGAAAGUGGACGUAUAGGGUGUGACGCCUGCCCGGUGCUGGAAGAUUAAAUGAUGGGGUGCAAGCUCUUGAUUGAAGUCCCAGUAAACGGCGGCCGUAACUAUAACGGUCCUAAGGUAGCGAAAUUCCUUGUCGGGUAAGUUCCGACCUGCACGAAUGGCGUAACGAUGGCCACACUGUCUCCUCCUGAGACUCAGCGAAGUUGAAAUGUUUGUGAUGAUGCAAUCUCCCCGCGGAAAGACGGAAAGACCCCAUGAACCUUUACUGUAGCUUUGUAUUGGACUUUGAACAGAUCUGUGUAGGAUAGGUGGGAGGCUUUGAAGCAGGGUCGCUAGAUCUUGUGGAGCCAACGUUGAAAUACCACCCUGGUGUGUUUGAGGUUCUAACCUAGGCCCGUAAUCCGGGUUGGGGACAGUGCAUGGUAGGCAGUUUGACUGGGGCGGUCUCCUCCCAAAGUGUAACGGAGGAGUUCGAAGGUACGCUAGUUACGGUCGGACAUCGUGACGAUAGUGCAAUGGCAUAAGCGUGCUUAACUGCGAGACUGACAAGUCGAGCAGAUGCGAAAGCAGGACAUAGUGAUCCGGUGGUUCUGUAUGGAAGGGCCAUCGCUCAACGGAUAAAAGGUACUCUGGGGAUAACAGGCUGAUACCGCCCAAGAGUUCAUAUCGACGGCGGUGUUUGGCACCUCGAUGUCGGCUCAUCUCAUCCUGGGGCUGUAGCCGGUCCCAAGGGUAUGGCUGUUCGCCAUUUAAAGAGGUACGUGAGCUGGGUUUAAAACGUCGUGAGACAGUUUGGUCCCUAUCUUCCGUGGGCGCUGCAGAUUUGAGGAAGCCUGCUCCUAGUACGAGAGGACCGGAGUGGACGCACCUCUGGUGUAUCGGUUGUCACGCCAGUGGCAUUGCCGAGUAGCUAUGUGCGGAAGAGAUAACCGCUGAAAGCAUCUAAGCGGGAAACUCGUUUCAAGAUGAGAUCUGCCGGGGCCUUGAGCCCCCUGAAGAGUCGUUCAAGACCAGGACGUUGAUAGGUCGGGUGUGGAAGCGCAGUAAUGCGUUAAGCUAACCGAUACUAAUUGCUCGUGCGGCUUGACCCU